GGAAGGGCUGUGUGGCUCAGAGGGGCAGGGUGCAUGCUUUGCAUGCAGAAGUUCCCAGGUUCAAUCCCAGGUAUCUCCA